GGUUAAGCGACUAAGCGUACACGGUGGAUGCCCUGGCAGUCAGAGGCGAUGAAGGACGUGCUAAUCUGCGAUAAGCGUCGGUAAGGUGAUAUGAACCGUUAUAACCGGCGAUUUCCGAAUGGGGAAACCCAGUGUGUUUCGACACACUAUCAUUAACUGAAUCCAUAGGUUAAUGAGGCGAACCGGGGGAACUGAAACAUCUAAGUACCCCGAGGAAAAGAAAUCAACCGAGAUUCCCCCAGUAGCGGCGAGCGAACGGGGAGGAGCCCAGAGCCUGAAUCAGUGUGUGUGUUAGUGGAAGCGUCUGGAAAGGCGCGCGAUACAGGGUGACAGCCCCGUACACAAAAAUGCACAUACUGUGAGCUCGAUGAGUAGGGCGGGACACGUGGUAUCCUGUCUGAAUAUGGGGGGACCAUCCUCCAAGGCUAAAUACUCCUGACUGACCGAUAGUGAACCAGUACCGUGAGGGAAAGGCGAAAAGAACCCCGGCGAGGGGAGUGAAAAAGAACCUGAAACCGUGUACGUACAAGCAGUGGGAGCCUCUUUAUGGGGUGACUGCGUACCUUUUGUAUAAUGGGUCAGCGACUUAUAUUCUGUAGCAAGGUUAACCGAAUAGGGGAGCCGAAGGGAAACCGAGUCUUAACUGGGCGUUAAGUUGCAGGGUAUAGACCCGAAACCCGGUGAUCUAGCCAUGGGCAGGUUGAAGGUUGGGUAACACUAACUGGAGGACCGAACCGACUAAUGUUGAAAAAUUAGCGGAUGACUUGUGGCUGGGGGUGAAAGGCCAAUCAAACCGGGAGAUAGCUGGUUCUCCCCGAAAGCUAUUUAGGUAGCGCCUCGUGAAUUCAUCUCCGGGGGUAGAGCACUGUUUCGGCAAGGGGGUCAUCCCGACUUACCAACCCGAUGCAAACUGCGAAUACCGGAGAAUGUUAUCACGGGAGACACACGGCGGGUGCUAACGUCCGUCGUGAAGAGGGAAACAACCCAGACCGCCAGCUAAGGUCCCAAAGUCAUGGUUAAGUGGGAAACGAUGUGGGAAGGCCCAGACAGCCAGGAUGUUGGCUUAGAAGCAGCCAUCAUUUAAAGAAAGCGUAAUAGCUCACUGGUCGAGUCGGCCUGCGCGGAAGAUGUAACGGGGCUAAACCAUGCACCGAAGCUGCGGCAGCGACGCUUAUGCGUUGUUGGGUAGGGGAGCGUUCUGUAAGCCUGUGAAGGUGUGCUGUGAGGCAUGCUGGAGGUAUCAGAAGUGCGAAUGCUGACAUAAGUAACGAUAAAGCGGGUGAAAAGCCCGCUCGCCGGAAGACCAAGGGUUCCUGUCCAACGUUAAUCGGGGCAGGGUGAGUCGACCCCUAAGGCGAGGCCGAAAGGCGUAGUCGAUGGGAAACAGGUUAAUAUUCCUGUACUUGGUGUUACUGCGAAGGGGGGACGGAGAAGGCUAUGUUGGCCGGGCGACGGUUGUCCCGGUUUAAGCGUGUAGGCUGGUUUUCCAGGCAAAUCCGGAAAAUCAAGGCUGAGGCGUGAUGACGAGGCACUACGGUGCUGAAGCAACAAAUGCCCUGCUUCCAGGAAAAGCCUCUAAGCAUCAGGUAACAUCAAAUCGUACCCCAAACCGACACAGGUGGUCAGGUAGAGAAUACCAAGGCGCUUGAGAGAACUCGGGUGAAGGAACUAGGCAAAAUGGUGCCGUAACUUCGGGAGAAGGCACGCUGAUAUGUAGGUGAAGCGACUUGCUCGUGGAGCUGAAAUCAGUCGAAGAUACCAGCUGGCUGCAACUGUUUAUUAAAAACACAGCACUGUGCAAACACGAAAGUGGACGUAUACGGUGUGACGCCUGCCCGGUGCCGGAAGGUUAAUUGAUGGGGUUAGCGGUAACGCGAAGCUCUUGAUCGAAGCCCCGGUAAACGGCGGCCGUAACUAUAACGGUCCUAAGGUAGCGAAAUUCCUUGUCGGGUAAGUUCCGACCUGCACGAAUGGCGUAAUGAUGGCCAGGCUGUCUCCACCCGAGACUCAGUGAAAUUGAACUCGCUGUGAAGAUGCAGUGUACCCGCGGCAAGACGGAAAGACCCCGUGAACCUUUACUAUAGCUUGACACUGAACAUUGAGCCUUGAUGUGUAGGAUAGGUGGGAGGCUUUGAAGUGUGGACGCCAGUCUGCAUGGAGCCGACCUUGAAAUACCACCCUUUAAUGUUUGAUGUUCUAACGUUGGCCCCUGAUCGGGGUUGCGGACAGUGUCUGGUGGGUAGUUUGACUGGGGCGGUCUCCUCCUAAAGAGUAACGGAGGAGCACGAAGGUUGGCUAAUCCUGGUCGGACAUCAGGAGGUUAGUGCAAUGGCAUAAGCCAGCUUGACUGCGAGCGUGACGGCGCGAGCAGGUGCGAAAGCAGGUCAUAGUGAUCCGGUGGUUCUGAAUGGAAGGGCCAUCGCUCAACGGAUAAAAGGUACUCCGGGGAUAACAGGCUGAUACCGCCCAAGAGUUCAUAUCGACGGCGGUGUUUGGCACCUCGAUGUCGGCUCAUCACAUCCUGGGGCUGAAGUAGGUCCCAAGGGUAUGGCUGUUCGCCAUUUAAAGUGGUACGCGAGCUGGGUUUAGAACGUCGUGAGACAGUUCGGUCCCUAUCUGCCGUGGGCGCUGGAGAACUGAGGGGGGCUGCUCCUAGUACGAGAGGACCGGAGUGGACGCAUCACUGGUGUUCGGGUUGUCAUGCCAAUGGCACUGCCCGGUAGCUAAAUGCGGAAGAGAUAAGUGCUGAAAGCAUCUAAGCACGAAACUUGCCCCGAGAUGAGUUCUCCCUGAGACUUUAAGUCUCCUGAAGGAACGUUGAAGACGACGACGUUGAUAGGCCGGGUGUGUAAGCGCAGCGAUGCGUUGAGCUAACCGGUACUAAUGAACCGUGAGGCUUAACCUU
rnacentral:rRNA from 1 species